rnacentral:rRNA from 1 species
CGAACCCGUUGACGUUGAAAAGUCUUGGGAUGACCUGUGGGUAGGGGUGAAAGGCCAAUCAAGCUCGGAAAUAGCUCGUACUCCCCGAAAUGCAUUUAGGUGCAGCGUGUUAUUAGUUUCAUAGAGGUAGAGCUACUGAUUGGAUGCGGGGGCUUCACCGCCUACCAAUUCCUGACAAACUCCGAAUGCUAUGAAAUGAUGUAACGCAGUGAGGGCAUGGGUGCUAAGGUCCAUGUCCGAGAGGGAAAGAACCCGGACCAUCGGCUAAGGUCCCCAAAUAUAUGCUAAGUUGACAAAACGCGGUGGAACUGCAUUGACAGCCAGGAUGUUGGCUUGGAAGCAGCCAUUCAUUUAAAGAGUGCGUAACAGCUCACUGGUCGAGCGGUUCCGCAUGGAUAAUGAUCGGGCAUAAGCAUAUUACCGAAGCCAUGGCUUUGUAUUUAUACAAGGGGUAGGGGAGCAUUGUAGUUGCGUUGAAGGUGUACCUGCGAGGGAUGCUGGAGCGGCUACAAACGAAAAUGUAGGCAUAAGUAACGAUAAUGCGGGCGAGAAACCCGCACGCCGAAAGACCAAGGUUUCCCCAGCUAUGCUAAUCAGCUGGGGGUCAGUCGGGACCUAACGCGAACCCGAAAGGGGCAGUGGAUGGACAACGGGUUAAUAUUCCCGUACCCGCCCGCGCUAAAAGUGACGGAGGCGAGAAUUUGGUGCGUGCAGACGGAAUUGCACGUUGAAGGGAGCGGUAACGCCCCGAUAGUACACCGAGGCUACGGCCAAGGUGAUAAUCCAGAGUAUCGACUUCCAAGAAAAGCAAGCGAGGCGGCCCGUACCGUAAACCGACACAGGUGGUCGGGAUGAGUAUUCUAAGGCGCUCGAGAGAUUCAUGGCUAAGGAACUAGGCAAAAUAGACCCGUAACUUCGGGAGAAGGGUCGCCCCCUUAUGGGGGGCCGCAGUGAAGAGGUCCAGGCGACUGUUUAUCAAAAACACAGGGCUCUGCAAAUUCGAGAGAAGAAGUAUAGGGCCUGACACCUGCCCGGUGCCGGAAGGUUAAGGGGAGACGUCAUUCCUUCGGGGAGAAGCGUUGAACUGAAGCCCCGGUAAACGGCGGCCGUAACAAUAACGGUCCUAAGGUAGCGAAAUUCCUUGUCGGGUAAGUUCCGACUCGCACGAAAGGUGUAAUGAUU